rnacentral:rRNA from 1 species
AUUGAACGCUGGCGGCAUGCCUUACACAUGCAAGUCGAACGGUAACAGGCCGCAAGGUGCUGACGAGUGGCGAACGGGUGAGUAAUGCAUCGGAACGUGCCCAGUCGUGGGGGAUAACGCAGCGAAAGCUGUGCUAAUACCGCAUACGAUCUAUGGAGGAAAGCGGGGGACCGUAAGGCCUCGCGCGAUUGGAGCGGCCGAUGUCAGAUUAGGUAGUUGGUGGGGUAAAGGCCCACCAAGCCAACGAUCUGUAGCUGGUCUGAGAGGACGACCAGCCACACUGGGACUGAGACACGGCCCAGACUCCUACGGGAGGCAGCAGUGGGGAAUUUUGGACAAUGGGCGCAAGCCUGAUCCAGCAAUGCCGCGUGCAGGAAGAAGGCCUUCGGGUUGUAAACUGCUUUUGUACGGAACGAAACGGUCUGGGUUAAUACCCUGGGCUAAUGACGGUACCGUAAGAAUAAGCACCGGCUAACUACGUGCCAGCCGCCGCGGUAAUAC